ensembl:lncRNA
GUGAGUGUAAAACCGCUUCGCUUCCAUAUUAACAUCUUUAACGGCUGGCUUUGAACUUCUCAGUAGAGUUUUUUUUUUUUUUUUUUUUUUUUUUUAAAUGUAAGUGCGCAGUUUAAAGGGAACUUGGCCGUUAAAUUUCACCUAACGACACGCUGAAGGGUAGAACCAUCUAAACCUGUUAUUUUAAUGCAUAUCCUGUGUAGUGAACUCGUGGAGGAAGGAGACAGCCAAAGGGAUUGAGUCGCGGUCUGGUGUUUGGACAGUGAUUAACGUUUUCUGUGUCUGUCUCCGCCAAGCCACUAACCCAUCCUAUCUACCUCGAGAGCGGAUAACUACUACUAACACUUGGUGCAUAUGACAGCGUGUUAGUGUAAUGUUUUAGCACAGAGUUCGGCGUGUUACUAUAAUGUUUUAGCAUAGUGUUAAUGUAAUGUUUCAGCACAGGGUUACUGUAUUGCUUCAGCACAGAGUUCAGCGUGUUACUGUAAUGUUUUAGCACAGUGUUACUAGUGUUAGUGUAAUGUUUUAGCACAGCGUCAGUGUAAUGUUUUAGCACAGUGUUAUUGUAAUGUUUUAACACAGAUUUCGGCUGUUACUGUAAUGUUUUAGCACAGCGUUAGUGUAAUGUUUUAGCACAGUGUUAGUGUAAUGUUUCAGCACAGUGUUAUUGUAAUGUUUUAGCACAGUGUUACUGUAGUGCUUCAGCACAGCGUUCAGAGUGUUACUGUAAUGUUUUAGCACAGCGUUCAGAGUGUUACUGUAAUGUUUUAGCACAGCGUUCAGAGUGUUACUGUAAUGUUUUAGCACAGUGUUAUUGUAAUGUUUUAGCACAGUGUUACUGUAAUGUUUUGCACAGUGUUACUGUAAUGUUUUAGCACAGUGUUAUUGUAAUGUUUUAGCACAGUGUUAUUGUAAUGUUUUAGCACAGCGUUAGUGUAAUGUUUUAGCACAGUGUUACUGUAAUGUUUUAGCAGAGCGUUCAGAGUGUUAGUGUAAUGUUUUAGCACAGUGUUACUGUAAUGUUUUU